UACCUUUUAGAUUAUUGUAAAUCAUUUGUUUGUGGUACAAAAGAAUUUUUAAAAAUUGGUAU
rnacentral:tRNA from 1 species